rnacentral:tRNA from 6 species
GGGUUCGUAGCUCAGUUGGUUAGAGCGCUUGCAUGACACGCAAGAGGUCAGAGGUUCAACUCCUCUCGGACCCACCA